GACCAUUAACAGUGUCUCCAAGUCUGACGAAGGCUUCUACAAGUGCCAAGUCUCUGGUGUCGGUACAUCACCAGGAAGCUGGUUGGUUGUCAGAGGUCGUCAUGGUGACUCCAGCUCCUUUUAUUCCCUCUACCCACUGUGGAUUACUAUAACCCUUCUCUCAGUGGUUCUGCUGUUGCUGCUACUCAAGUGUCUUCAUAUCAGAAGAGUUUCAUCAACAGCAGCUUCACAUUCGACUGAAAACAAUCAAACCGAGACGGCAGACGCUGAUAAUUCAGGCCUCUGCUUAAAGUCAAACCACAGCAGAAAACCACAAAGAGAACAAGGUGAAGAUGAGUCCUCGUCACAAGCAGUUUACUCCACUAUAGCCAUAGCCCCUGUGGACCCAAGGACAUCCAGAGACUGAACAAAGCAGGAAGUCAUCUACUCCACUGUGAACAUGGU